UUGCACUAUGGUCCCAAAUCCCGAUUUGGUGGCAUAAAGUCCAAAAUUUCAUGGAAGAAAAUCUGAAUUUUUUUUUAUAUAUUUAAACUAGAUACCCUAGAUAGAAAGUAUCAAUAAAUAUUUUUGUCAAAAAUGCAACCUUGCAAUUUUUACAGAUGUUUAAAGUCAGGUGAUUGAGCAGCUGAUUUUUGUGACAAAAUUGGCGGGAAAUUUUUAAUAACUUUGAGCGCUUGGCAAAUCUAAACUAAACAAUAUUUUUCUAUUAUUUAAAAUGGAUAUUGAAGUUGGAGGAAAUCAAAAAGCUGACAAAAGUGUUCGUCUUCUGUAGAGGAAAAAAAGGUGUUCUGCGUAUUUGUGCGUUGUUUAAUGUAUGUUAAACAAUAGUAGACACUUUAUAUUAAAUUUUAAUAAUAGUUUGGUUUGCGGCUUUUUGCGGCUUUUCCGAUGCUUUAAUUAUUUAGAUGUGCUUGAAUUCUGUCACGCCACGUUGCUGGACGUGUGGAUGGACAGCGGGCGCCACUCUUCCGCGCUGGUUGAACUUGUAUUUGGUCAAAUAGAUGAAUGUACA